rnacentral:rRNA from 1 species
GAUGAACGCUGGCGGCGUGCUUAACACAUGCAAGUCGAACGAAGCACUUUGGGCAGAUUCUUCGGAUGAAGUCCUUAGUGACUGAGUGGCGGACGGGUGAGUAACGCGUGGGUAACCUGCCUCAUACAGGGGGAUAACAGUUAGAAAUGGCUGCUAAUACCGCAUAAGCGCACGGUACUGCAUGGUACAGUGUGAAAAACUCCGGUGGUAUGAGAUGGACCCGCGUUGGAUUAGCUAGUUGGCAGGGUAACGGCCUACCAAGGCGACGAUCCAUAGCCGGCCUGAGAGGGUGGACGGCCACAUUGGGACUGAGACACGGCCCAGACUCCUACGGGAGGCAGCAGUGGGGAAUAUUGCACAAUGGGGGAAACCCUGAUGCAGCGACGCCGCGUGAGCGAAGAAGUAUUUCGGUAUGUAAAGCUCUAUCAGCAGGGAAGAAAAUGACGGUACCUGACUAAGAAGCC